GAAGCGGACCAGACGAUCGCGGGGCCCCGCUCCUACGGGUGCGGGUGCCAUGAGGAAAGUCCGGGCUCCACAGGGCAGGAAGCCGGUUAACGGCCGGGCGGGGUAACCCGACGGAAAGCGCCGCAGAAAAGAAGACUCCCGCUGCCCGCACGGCCAUGCCAAUGCGGGUAAGAGAAAAGCUGAAACGGUGGUGUAAGAGACCACCAGCAUCCUGGCAACAGGGUGGCUUGGCAAGCCCCUUCCGGAGCAAACGCAAAUAGGAGCGCCAUGGUGUGGCCCGCACUGCGCUCGGGUUGCGCGCUUGAGACAUGCGGCAACGCAUGCCCUAGAUAAAUGACCGUCCACGACAGAACCCGGCUUAUAGGUCCGCUUCGCCU
rnacentral:RNase_P_RNA from 1 species